AGCGUCCUUUGAACUAUUUAUUGAGAAAUGGUUUAGAAUUUCUGGAAUUUUUUUCGAUGAGAAGGGAAUCGAUUCAACAAAUUGUCUAGGCCAAAUGGGUGCUUCGUUUUUAUUUUUUAGAGAGGGAAAAUUGAUGAUGUUUCCUUUUUCCAAGUCGUUUUCUAAGAAGUAAGGUUUGUAAAGGAAAUUGUUAUCUUGAAAAUCACUAUCAAUACUUUCUUGAAUUACUUGUCGAAGAUGUGCAUUUGGGGUUUCCCUUUUUAGGUUAUGAAUCUCUUCAUCAGUAGCAGCACUAAAAACCCAAAUUCCAUGUUGGUGCAAACCAUAAUAUACUUUCUCCUUUGUGUCACCAACGUCAUUCUCUGUGGCAACACAAUAACAAUUAUUUCAUACAUAAAAUAGUAUGAUUAAUUUUCUAUUUAAAUGGACUGACCUUCAGUUUUUAUGAAUAAGUGUUUAAUUAAUGCCCCUCGCAACUGAAUUUAUAUUUAGUGGGGCAUAAGUUCUUUUAAGAAAUUGAAAAGCCAUGUGAACAAUAAUAUGAAUUUAUACAUCAUAAAAAUUUAUUUAUUACAAGUAAAAAUUAAAAACCAACACCAAAUAGAGGAAAAAGUGCAAGUGAUCACCCUAAUGAUUUUUCUCCAAAUAAUUGAAUAAUGGAGGAAAAAGUGCUAGUUACCCUAAUGAUUUUUCUCCAAAUGGUUGAAUAAUGACCAAAUUAAGUUGGCUUCAAAAAUAGUUUAUGUAAGAAAAAGAGUAAUUUGAUGGAUAACAAAAUGGACAAUCAUCUAGCCAAAGUUCAUCUGGCUGAAAUAAUUAUUUUUUCAGAUCCAAUCGAUAUG
rnacentral:lncRNA from 1 species